rnacentral:rRNA from 1 species
UACGUAGGGUGCAAGCGUUGUCCGGAAUUAUUGGGCGUAAAGAGCUCGUAGGCGGUCUGUCGCGUCGGCUGUGAAAACCCGGGGCUCAACCCCGGGCCUGCAGCCGAUACGGGCGGACUAGAAUUCGGUAGGGGAGACUGGAAUUCCUGGUGUAGCGGUGAAAUGCGCAGAUAUCAGGAGGAACACCGGUGGCGAAGGCGGGUCUCUGGGCCGAUAUUAACGCUGAGGAGCGAAAGCGUGGGGAGCGAACAGG